GACGAACGCUGGCGGCGCGCUUAACACAUGCAAGUCGAGCGAUGAAAUUUCGACAGAUCCCUUCGGGGUGAAGAUGAAAUGGAUUAGCGGCGGACGGGUGAGUAACACGUGAGUAACCUGCCUUUGACAUUGGGAUAGCCUCGGGAAACUGGGAUUAAUACCAAAUGACACUAACUGAUCACAUGAUCUAUUAGUCAAAGAAAUUCGGUCAAAGAUGGACUCGCGGCUGAUUAGCUAGUUGGUGAGGUAACGGCCCACCAAGGCGACGAUCAGUAGCCGGCCUGGGAGGGUGAUCGGCCACAUUGGAACUGAGACACGGUCCAAACUCCUACGGGAGGCAGCAGUGGGGAAUAUUGCACAAUGGGGGAAACCCUGAUGCAGCGACGCCGCGGGAGCGAAGAAGGCCUUCGGGUCGUAAAGCUCUUUUAUGAGGGAAGAUAAUGACGGUACCUCAAGAAAAAGCCCCGGCUAACUACGU
rnacentral:rRNA from 1 species